UGCUCUAAAAUCAAAUGGGAUCAACAGUGUAUAUAGAAAGAAAAGAGAACUUAUUGAUUACAGCUAAGGUCUUCAUGUAAAAUGCUUAAACACAAUCUUAGUUGUGCUUGAGAUUAUGAAAGCAUACUUGCAUUAUUAGGCUUCAGGUCCGUCACCAAUACUAGCUUAGCUUCUUCUGGGACCCGAGAUUGCAGAAGAACAGAGACGACUAGCUCAGAAAGUAAAACUGCUAUAGAAAGGGGAAAAAAAGAGAGUAUGCUGAUGCUUCAGAAUUCAGGUUGAAAAUAUUUACCGA
rnacentral:lncRNA from 1 species